AAAAGCAUGAAAGUCACAACAUCUGUUCCGCACUCUUCGAACUCGGUAGCAUUCAUCCAAUAACUACAACUCAACCAAUUAACUCCGAAAAAUUAUAAAUAAAUAAAUAGAUAAAUAAAUAAGAACUAACUGUUGCUAUUCAAAUAUGUUGUAACUAUCUUCCAUAGAUUCGCAUUUAGCGAAAUUGACUCCCGUUCGCAACAGUUGCUUCUGCCUCCACCCAGGAGGGAAUCCCUACUUACGUAGCUAUGACGUCAAUGAUGGACACCGGUGUCUAUCCAUGUGUGUGCCUGUGUUUACAUCGUACAACCUCUUCACGUGUAUCUUUUAUGUGUCUGUGCCAGAGAAAGAGAGGCAGACAUUCACGUGUGCUUCUAUGUGAACGAUCUGCUUACGUGUGCUUUGGCGACUGUAUGUAAAAUGUGUACGUCGAAGCUGGAACGAUUGUGCUGUUGUAACAGUAAGAACCCAUCUGCACACCGCUGCACCCACGUGAACAGUUAAAUAUGGCUGCCGAAGCUGCAUCCAGGAAGGCGUGCACUCCACUUUCUCGCUUUAAUACAUCUUGGAUUACAAUUGCAGCAAAUAAGAAGACACUGGUUAGUAGUGUUGUCUCCAAUAUUAUCACAGACAUCGUUGUUAUAAAGCAGGCGCCGCUAAAACUGUCGCAACUACUCUGGUAUUAAGGAACGGAGGAGGCUGUUCACAACAUUUCUGCUUCUUGUGAAGGGCUGCAAAUUGAUUCCCGGUCGGUCCGCUGUCUUCAAUUUGAAUUGUUUUCUGAUAGAAAGAUACCUGUGCGUCGGCUGUACCCGAGCCUGAAGCCUGUGGAAUAAUAAUAAUAACCGAGGCGGCAUCCGCUUCACGCAAUUCCUGUAUUUGUUGCCUGUAUCCGAAGCAUUCAACCAGCAGCGACUACUAUAGAGGUGCAAUAAUUACGGCACGCACUUCACUCUCUCUUCUCUCCCUGCAAUCUUUGAAUAGGGGUCACACUAAACUCCCUGGAAAAUUGUUUCAAAGGGAAAAACAACACGAAACGAAAAACCAAAUUGCAUAUUUCUUAUUAUUUGUUUGAAUUAUUGAAACAAUCAAGUUUAUUAAACCUUUAUAAACUGUUCGUCACCUUCAGCUACGGAAACAUGAAUAUUCUGUAUAUCGGGGCCAAAUGAAAUUAUUAUUUUUCUCCGUAUUUAUCUUUUUUUCUUUUUGCGGAAAACAGCAUAAACGUUGUUAAAUUUCAUAUUUAUAUCGAAAGCUUUUACAAUUAAUCUCUGAUUAAAUAACAGCUGAAAUACGCACCUACGUUGAUAAUAUAUAUAUAUAUGCAUAUAUGAUGUAUUGAGGAGUUAUACCCUCCAGAAAAUACUCAGCCUUCAGUAAUAUAUAUAUAUAUCUGCAAGUGAAUUGGACCCAAAUUUAAGGGGCGGAGUAAAUCGUCCACUUUGCUGAAAGGAUCGAAAAUAACCUGCGGGUGAAAAUAAAUAUACAAUAAAACCGCCGCUGCUAUCACACACACACACACAAAUAAGAAAAGCAAUAAUAUUUAAAAGAAGUGGAAACUUUAAAGAAGAGUGGGGGAAAAAAUGUGGCUAAUUUUAAUUUGUUGAUAUUGUUGUUUUGCAAAGACUGAGGUGCGAAUCGUUUGUUUUUGGUGUGUGUCGAGCAUCGAGUGAAUCCUGGAAUUGUGGACGUGACCUUUUCUGGUGGUUGUUUUCGUUCCUGGCAGAAGAUACAGCCCUUACAACAACAACAACAACAACAACAGCGGCAACAACAACAACAACAACAGCAGCAGCAACAGCAACAACAACAACAACAACUGCAGCAGCAGCAGCAGCAGCAGCAGCAACUAGGAACAUAUUUAUCUCCAGGUUCAAAAAUCUCUACAAAUAAUAAAACUUGAAGACAUUCGACCUCUGUAUAACUUAUCAAUAAAAUCCACGAUAAAUA